GCCGGUGUUGCUCAGUGGUUAGAGUGUCAGUCUGCACACUGGAGGGUCAUGGGUUUGAUUCCCCUCAAGGGCA
rnacentral:tRNA from 1 species